rnacentral:rRNA from 1 species
GAUGAACGCUGGCGGCGUGCCUAAUACAUGCAAGUCGAGCGAACGGACGAGAAGCUUGCUUCUCUGAUGUUAGCGGCGGACGGGUGAGUAACACGUGAAUAACCUACCUAUAAGACUGGGAUAACUUCGGGAAACCGGAGCUAAUACCGGAUAAUAUUUUGAACCGCAUGGUUCAAAAGUGAAAGACGGUCUUGCUGUCACUUCUCGAUGGAUCCGCGCUGCAUUAGCUAGUUGGUAAGGUAACGGCUUACCAAGGCAACGAUGCAUAGCCGACCUGAGAGGGUGAUCGGCCACAUUGGAACUGAGACACGGUCCCGACUCCUACGGGAGGCAGCAGUAGGGAAUCUUCCGCAAUGGGCGAAAGCCUGACGGAGCAACGCCGCGUGAGUGAUGAAGGUCUUCGGAUCGUAAAACUCUGUUAUUAGGGAAGAACAUAUGUGUAAGUAACUGUGCACAUCUUGACGGUACCUAAUCAGAAAGCCACGGCUAACUACGUG